UACGGAGGGUGCAAGCGUUAUCCGGAUUCACUGGGUUUAAAGGGUGCGUAGGCGGGUAAGUAAGUCCGUGGUGAAAUCUCUGAGCUUAACUCAGAAACUGCCGUGGAUACUAUUUGCCUUGAAUAUUGUGGAGGUGAGCGGAAUAUGUCAUGUAGCGGUGAAAUGCUUAGAUAUGACAUAGAACACCAAUUGCGAAGGCAGCUUACUACACAAAUAUUGACGCUGAGGCACGAAAGCGUGGGGAUCAAACAGG
rnacentral:rRNA from 1 species